CUACGGGAGGCAGCAGUAGGGAAUCUUCCACAAUGGACGAAAGUCUGAUGGAGCAACGCCGCGUGAGUGAUGAAGGUUUUCGGAUCGUAAAACUCUGUUGUUAAAGAAGAACAAGUGUUAGAGUAACUGUUAACACUUUGACGGUAUUUAACCAGAAAGCCACGGCUAACUACGUGCCAGCAGCCGCGGUAAUACGUAGGUGGCAAGCGUUGUCCGGAUUUAUUGGGCGUAAAGCGAGCGCAGGCGGUUUUGUAAGUCUGCUGUGAAAGCCCUCAGCUCAACUGAGGAAGUGCAGUGGAAACUACAAAACUUGAGUACAGAAGAGGAAAGUGGAACUCCAUGUGUAGCGGUGAAAUGCGUAGAUAUAUGGAAGAACACCAGUGGCGAAGGCGGCUUUCUGGUCUGUUACUGACGCUGAGGCUCGAAAGCAUGGGUAGCGAACAGGAUUAGAUACCCUGGUAGUCCAUGCCGUAAACGAUGAAUACUAGGUGUUGGAGGGUUUCCGCCCUUCAGUGCCGCAGCUAACGCAUUAAGUUCCCGCCUGGGGAGUNCGACCGCAAGGUUUAAACUCAAAGGAAUUGACGGGGGGCCCACCAAGUGGUG
rnacentral:rRNA from 2 species